UUCCUUUUUUUGUUAUUUUAUGUUAUAUCUUUUGUUAAAAUAUUAAAUAAGUACAUGAUAACCAAUUACUUUUAAGCAUUGAUAAAUUUAAGAAUUUGAAACAAAGAACUGAUUGAAUUGAAAUGUGAAAUGAAAACUUAGAACUUAAUGUCGACGGUCAAAACAUUGUUAUCGAUAGUUAAGUCAGUAUUAAUAGGAAAUUUAGUAUUUUUUAAGUUAUCCGCUUUUUGGCCCAUUGAAGUACGGGCUUAUUAAUCGCGGUUAUGUGAAUGCCGCCGAAAAGUGCCUUUUCACUGUCUUGUGAAUAGUAGGAGGGCACACUGCGGUAAGAAGAAGAGCUAUAUUUGUAUUGUAAACUAAUUUAAUGAAUUUACAGAAUAAAACGUUCCGUACGCCAUAGCCAUAGUCCUUUGAAGUUCACCUUUCUCUGGACCUACGCGUGGGGGGAGCCGUUUAAGGCAACUCCGCACUUCACAAGACGACAUCUUUUAUUCGCAGUCCUAGGGAGACUGCAAGGGCAACUUGCGCUGGAAGACGGCUUGACGACCAGCUAGAGAGUUGCCAGGAGCGCACGGAGCGCAUUUCCCGUACCAGCAGAGGAGUCGCAGCCAGCGACAUAGACGGCGCAAGGAGCGCCAAACACUGAGUACGGACGCAGUCGCAGGCAGCGACACGGAGACGCAGCCGGCGUCAGUUCAGGAGACGCAGCCAGCGUCAGGUUAGGAAGCGCAAGGAGCGCCAAGCACCAGCGGUCAGGAGGCUCAAGGACCGCCGAGCAUCAGCGGCAGCAGCCAGUCGGCACAGGUCCGCCAUUUUGGAGCGCUAGGGCAGCGCCAUAUUUGGACCAUAUUUAUUUGGAGAUGCAGCAUUCCCCCAGGAGUUCCCGGCUGAACGGAGGGGAAGCCACCCCUACAACAACGCAGCAGCCAGCGAGUAGUGCAGCAGAAAACCGGCCAAGGGUUAACAUAACCACGGCGGCGGCCAUUUCUCGCCCAGCCACUACAGCGACUACAGUAGCGUCCCAACCAAGGAGUACUCUAACAGCAGCUGCGAGCUCAGAGCCGGAGCCAGCCACCCACGGCGUACCUUUUGGAUAGGAUCACGGCGUUCGAGAAUGAGCUGAAGCAGGUUAGAGCCGUGAACACAACGAACACCGCUGAACUGCGUGCGAGAGGUGUCGCCGAUUACGGAGCAGAACCUGUCGGCGAAGGCGAAGCAACAUCUGGGAAACCCCACCCUCAUGGAGGAGCUUGUGCAAAGCUUCCCACCAGCCCAGCAAACGAGUGGAUUGGGCCAGGCACGCUGCAUCGAUCGAGCCCUUUCCCACUGUAGAGCACUUCAGCGUGUGUCUACAGGAGUACGCAAACAUCGUGUGUACCAUUUUGGGCGUCGACGGAAGGGAGCCGAGGCGUCGAGUUCUACACGCGAGCGUCGACCAGGACGGAUACGAGCAGCGGGAUGACCGGCAUAGAGGUUGUCCAAUUUGUGGAGGGCAACAUGCUACGACGAACUGCAGGGAGUUCAUCGGAGCUGGUUUGAUAAAAUAUCUAAUUACGUCCGUAAGUUCGUUGACAACUGUAUUACCUGUAGGUUAUCUAGUCCGGCUAUGAUGAACCAGCUAAAAAAAGGCCCAAACGGAUGAGGGAACUCCCAAGGGAAAACCAAAAUCCUCAUACAAAAUGUGUACACCAGGAACUCUUGCUUUUUAGGCUUAAACAACAAGGUGUCUUGUUUUGCUACAGAAAUCGGAACGUGUCAAAACACUCCCUGAAAUGCUCAAUGUGUCAGAGCUAAAAAUAUAUCGAGACGUAUGUAGUCUCCUUCAACCUUUCAAAAUAUCAACAGAGCAAAUAAGUGGGGAAAAUUACGUAACUGUAAGUUUAGUAAUACCACUUAUUUUAAUGUUAGCAGCCAAAAUUAAAACAUUGCAAAUGGAGACGAAGGAAGGAAAACGAGCUAAGGCGCUCAUAAAAAUUUCUGAAAGAAGGUUUCAGGCUUUACAGAAUAAUGAAAUUUUGGUUAAAUCAACAUUAUUAGACCCUAGGUUUAAAAAAAUGUAUUUGGCGCCUUUAACGGUAAAGGAUGCCAUUGCUGAUUGUCGCGAAACGGAUUAGGCUAUCGAUAGUCAGGAUUUUUAUGAAGUCUAGUAUUUAGUUUAGGUUUUGGUCGCACUAAAAUCGGGUAAAAAGGAAUACAAUAUUUGGCGGAUAAAACACAUCGAUUUGCGCCAUCACAGAAAGGGGAAGAGAAACUGCGGUAUGGAGGAUAAGUAAUUAUGUAUCAGGUUAAGAACAAUUGUCUUUUAGAAUAAAACGCUCGUUACACAUCACUUCAACAAUAGUCCUAUUUGCGAGUGUUAUAAGGCAUUCCCGUGAUUGGCCAAGCGGUGACACUGAUAUUACUCUUGAGAUCAAUAAAUGUACUCUUAAGGGAAGGGUAUGUGAUCAAGUUAAAACUUUGUUUACUUCAAUAAGUAAUUGAUUAAUCAGUAAAACUAAUAGGCUUAAUAUUAUAACAUCUAAAUUUUGCUAAUAAUAAUAAAAACACAUUCUUGAA